rnacentral:lncRNA from 1 species
AUGAUAAAACCCCCUAAUCUGGCAGACUUCUGGUCAUGGCCAGCGAACCCCGGAAGGGGAGGCAGAAUUAGAAGAUCAUGUGAUGUUGGUGUAGGAAGAUUUAUCGUGGUGACUUUAGGAUGUUGGUUCCAUUGCAGGUAUAAUUAUGCAAAGGAAAGAAUCCAGCAAAGAACUGCCAGAGAAGAAAUAAAAAAGAUUUUAUAUGAAAGCACCCACCUUGAUCCUGAAAGAAAACAAACCAACCAACAGCAGCAACUGAGCAACUUGAACACGGAAAACAAAACUCUUGAAGUGAACAAGAGCAGGUCUGUGGACAUCUCUGGAACGACGAGGGAGUGACAAUUAUCAAGCAAAGGCCAGCACCGUGAGGAAGCUGAACUUGAACAUUAUUCACACUCCCAGCUGAAAAUUUUAAGUUCUAUGCAUGACAG